UCACGUAUGCGAACCUCCUUCUAACGUUCACCUACAAGAGCCGGCUCUAGUUGGUUGCGAGAUACAGAAUAAUUAGUAUAACAUACAGAAGAAGAAGAUAGAAUAUUUCCACAGCUCCACGAGCUUUUUUCGCGAAUGGCGAAAGCAUGAUAUUUGUAUGUCAAUUAAACAUGAAAAGAAAGGGAGAGAUAUCAGACUUAUUUUUAAAGAAGCACAAACAGGCAGAUCAGGUGCAAACAGACCCCAGCCUUUGCAUCACUAUUGGACCCCAGAGCAGCUCCCUAGCUGAGUGUGGUCAGACUUCACAAGGACCAGUCUACCACCACCACCACCAUCUACCAGACAGGAUGCCACAGAGACCUCUGGCUCUGAGCAAGACAGUGAGCCAGAGCUGUCAGGAGAUGUCAUCGAGCCCCUUGCAACUGCAUCAAGCACCAGAUAUGCUGUUCCAAAAGGACCCAAUGACAUUUCAAGAUCCAGAGAAGAGGGUCCUGUACAGUCGUGUUUGA
rnacentral:lncRNA from 1 species